CGGUCAAAUUACGUUAAAAAACACCGGUUCUCGUUCGAUCACUAUAAGUUAAGCAUCGUAGAGCCAGGUCAAACUCAUUAGAUGGGGGACCGCUUGGGAACACCUGGUACUGUAAGC